UACGUAGGGUGCGAGCGUUGUCCGGAAUUAUUGGGCGUAAAGAGCUUGUAGGCGGUUUGUCGCGUCUGCUGUGAAAAUCCGGGCGUCAACUCCGGACUUGCAGUGGGUACGGGCAGGCUAGAGUGUGGUAGGGGAGACUGGAAUUCCUGGUGUAGCGGUGGAAUGCGCAGAUAUCAGGAGGAACACCGAUGGCGAAGGCAGGUCUCUGGGCCACUACUGACGCUGAGAAGCGAAGACAUGGGGAGCGAACAGG
rnacentral:rRNA from 1 species